AACAACUUAAUGUCCCCGAACACGGCUCAGUGGUGAAUCCCUGAAUGAACUGCCCAUAUCGAGUUUGGAAGGUGAAACGACAACUUUGGCGAAGACCUUUCCAAAUCUUGGAGCACCCCACAUCCUUGGAAAUGGUUUGCAGGGAGGGGUGAUCGCCCUUGGCUUCGGUUUUGAGAACAAACAAUCUGAGAUUUGAAUUUUUCCUACCAUCCGUCCUCCAGGAGGCGACUUGAAGUUGGCCACGAGAAUGUGCCUUCACCUCGUCAUUCUGCCGAGUAUGAGAAGUGUGUGGAGAUGAGGCAAAACAAGCAUGGAACUAGCAAGAAUGGAUAAAUGGACAAAAAGGAAGAUAAUUAAUGCGAGACAGUCUGUCCCAUUUGAUAUCAUUAAUCACAGACUGAGCUGAGGAGUCUUGUGUGUCGUUGUCAAGGCAUAUUAACAACACGAACUGACACACUAAAUUAUUGUUACCCCUGACCUUCAAGUCCAAGAUUAUCUGCACAUCUCUCUCUUGAUCCAAGAUUUAUGGCCAACUGCCACGAUUGACCACGUUCAAGUAACCAGUUUUUUUGAAUGAACUUGAUUGCAAAGUGGCGAUAGAAAUCAGAAUUAGCCAUUCCAGUUGCUUUAUCCUUCCGUAAUUAGACCUUCGACAAGUGGUGGUGCCCAAGAAAGAAGUGCAGAUUUGAGAGUGACUUGAACGAUUUUCAGAACAGAGCCCUUUUCGAAACUACUCAUUGUUUCUUUCAAUGCCAAACGAACAUGCUUCCUAGUUGCGGAAAAUAGGAGGGAGGGGGAUCCAGCUUUGCCGAAAGUUGUGGAAAAAGAGUGCCACUUCUCAUAAAUCAUCAGAAAUUACUCCGGGUAAAGAGACAAACUACUGCCGUCUCCUCUAAAUUUACUCCUAUUUUCCUACCCAAGGCAUCUCUUGAAGCUCAACGUAAGUCCAUAUCAACGGGGGAUUCACAUUCAAAUCAUUUGAAAAUGGAUACACGCCGUUUAAUAUCGAAUCAGGAAGGAAAAGGAAAGACAACGAGGCAGAAGUAAAUGACACUUUUUCUGAUGAGCUUGCUCUUUCAGAAGAUGCAACCACCAUAGACAAGUUGAUGGAUGGCCAAGACUUGUUGGUUCAAUGUGGUUCCGUAUGGAAGUGUGUUUGUGACAACAAUUGGUAAAGCUAAUAAUGCCUGGAAUUCUUGAGCUCGUUGAGUUAAAACCAGACUAAAGGACAUGUCAGAUCACCAUUGUCACUUGUAAUGAGGACAUUAUCGAGUGUAAAGAAUAUGGGAGGAUGUGAGCUUGAUGUCAGAACCUUUUCACACUCAAAGAAGAUUUGUUCAAGGUGAACCAACACAAAGGAGAAUGAAGAUAAAUAAAAUGCCAACAGGCCGUAUUAAUGGCAAUCCUGAAUGGCUUUCAAAGUGAUGCGUUAAGCCUACUCAAGUUUAACUGGAACAAGUUUGUACAAGGUAAGAGAGAUACGUUCAUUUACAUAUUGGAGACAAGGAAGCCGAUUUGAUAAGGCUUGAUGAUCAAUCAGGUCGGCGGAUUUCCUGUGUUUGACCGGGAUCGUUCUCUCUUUCUCUUCAGUUUCUCCUGUUCAAAUAGCACAAUUAAACCAAAUAUCCAAGGAAGAUUGGGAACAUGAGAUAACUGUUGUACGAGUGUGAAUAGGUUGGAUGCCAUCGUGCUGACCAAAUUAACAAACAACGUCAACACAACAUCCAUUUCCAAGCUCAUCACAAAGGCGGAAUUUCAUUCCAUCCAAAUACCUGCAAGUCACUCCAAGAGUUCAGCGUAGGUAUCCGAAUGAAAUGCACCGUUUCAGGUUUCCUUUGCAUAGGCCUCGCUGAAGCCUUCAACCAUUGAGUAAGUACAUGCAAAGUGGGGCCCUAUUUCCAAUGACCAUCCUCACCCGUCCAAGGGCUUCUUCUUUUCUCGACAAUUCAAACGCGACGUCCACAAUGAAAUCCUCCGCAAAAGAAUCAUCAUCCUAGGAAGUGAUCUUCGUUCCCAUGUGCACUCUUUAUCCAUUGGUUUUGGGAAAAAGAUCUUCUUGCAACAAGAGGCGAUGGGACUGUUUGGGAGCCCUGUGACCUUAGCACAUUUGGGAGUCACCAACCGACGCGGGAUCGCCGCCCAUGUAAUCCAAAUCUCAUCCAUCCCCACUUGUGAAGUCUCCCCGAGCUUUUUUGUACCAAUUUUGGCAGGGAAAACCAUGCUGGUUUGGGUCCCGUUGACCAUCUGUUAAUGGUUGAGGACGUAAAUAUGCCUCAUUUGCUCACGCUCACAAUGAUCAGAAAAAAGCCGUUGCCACCAAUCCAACCUUGAUUAAAGGAAACCCGAGAUGGCACCAUGAAUGCGAGUUUAUCCACCAUAAUGAACAUGGAUCCCAUUCAAAGGCUUUACCUGUACAUAGAUGGGGCUGUUCUAAAGUUCCGUUAUGGGAGGAGGGAACAAGAAUGGUUUUGAGCACAUAAGUAGCAACACCACCACAACCACUACUACUAUUGCCACUCUCCAAUGUGAAGAAGAGAAUCUUGGUCUUUCUCUCUCACCCUUAAUGCACCUUGAUUCACCUCAGACCGGAUAUCUACCGUGACAUCUAAUAUUAUGCUAUUACCACCCAACAAUGACAUCGCUUCCCACACACCAAGAUCCUAAGCACAACACUCUCCAAAAAGCUACACUCAACAUAGAGUUUGAUUAUCCUUUUUAACCAAAUGACUGCAAAGUGGAGCUCUCCAUGUUGCAUAUCAACCCAUAAUGGCAAGUCGCACUUGUUGAUGUUCAAUGUAAAAGCUUCUGUUUGAACUCAAGCUUGGUCUCACUGCAGUUGCUUGAAAAAACAAGGGAAAUGAACGGAAAACGACUGAAGCCACCGAAGACUCUAUGGAGGGCGAUGAGGGUGCUGAUGAAGAAUGUGGCACUGAUCCAGGGCCUGAGAAAGACGGUUGGAGCACUGGAGUGCUGGAAUUGAUUCCGGAGCCAGAAUGAUUUCUGAGUCGAAUGACUUCCAAUUUGGACAAUUGGCAAGCAUGUCAUAACAACCAAGGGAUCUUCCAAAGGUGGCAGUCCAAAUCUUGGAAGAAAUGUGAAGCAGACAAACAGUAAUGGUUCAGUCCCUCGGACAUGAUUGAGCAGAAAACUUUGAGUAAUGGCGUUUGUCAGUUGCCAGGAGAGCACGCAACUCACCCCAGAAUCGGAUUUGAAAUGCAAUCUGAUAUGCCCAAAAGUCAAGAAAACGACGACAAAUCGACUUGGGAAGAUGGACUCCAGACACCUUGGAUUGCAGAUCAUUAUCGAUCUUCCAACAGUUUAUCUCAAAGACUUGACUCCCAACACGAUUUACCCGAGUGUACAAAUGAUGGACUAGCAAAAAAUACAACCAUAAAUUUAGUGAAUGUC